rnacentral:rRNA from 1 species
GACGAACGCUGGCGGCGUGCUUAACACAUGCAAGUCGAACGGAAAGGCCCUGCUUUUGUGGGGUGCUCGAGUGGCGAACGGGUGAGUAACACGUGAGUAACCUGCCCUUGACUUUGGGAUAACUUCAGGAAACUGGGGCUAAUACCGGAUAGGAGCUCCUGCUGCAUGGUGGGGGUUGGAAAGUUUCGGCGGUUGGGGAUGGACUCGCGGCUUAUCAGCUUGUUGGUGGGGUAGUGGCUUACCAAGGCUUUGACGGGUAGCCGGCCUGAGAGGGUGACCGGCCACAUUGGGAAUGAGAUACGGCCCAGACUCCUAAGGGAGGCAGCAGUGGGGAAUAUUGCACAAUGGGCGGAAGCCUGAUGCAGCAACGCCGCGUGCGGGAUGACGGACUUCGGGUUGUAAACCGCUUUCGCCUGUGACGAAGCGUGAGUGACGGUAAUGGGUAAAGAAGCACCGGCUAACUACGUG